rnacentral:rRNA from 1 species
UGUUGCAGUCGAUGGAAGUUUGAGGCAAUAACAGGUCUGUGAUGCCCUUAGAUGUUCUGGGCCGCACGCGCGCUACACUGAUUGUUUCAACGAGUCUUACGCUUGGUUGAGAUGCCUGGCUAAUCUUUUGAAAUACAAUCGUGCUUGGGCUUGCGGCUUGCAACUAGCCGCACCAACGAGGAAUUCCUAGUAGACGCAAGUCAUCAACUUGCAUCGAUUACGUCCCUGCCCUUUGUACACACCGCCCGUCGCUGCAACUGAUUGAGUGCUCCGGUGAAUUGUCGGGAGAACCUGGGCCGGUCUUCGGAUUGGUUCGAGUUCGAACUUCAAUAAAUUUGGGUCCUUAGAAAUUGCAGAAGUCGUAACAAGGUUUCCGU